rnacentral:snRNA from 1 species
GCUUUCAGAUUUGUUUUAAGCAUGCUAAAAAAUGGUUCAACAAUACAGAGAUUAACAUGGCCCCUACAUGACAAUGACAUACAAGUUCGUGAAGCAUUUCAUAUUUUU